ACUAUAUUAAAAUUACUGUAACCCAAUGUGCUUCAUGCACUAUCUGGCAUCCAAAGGAUCCUCUUUCGCCCAUGUUGGGGUUUUCGAAACUGGAAAGAAGACUGAUUUCUGCAGCAGCUUUCUAGAUGCAGCCCUGUUCACAUGUGACUGGUAUUUACCUUCUUUCAUCAAACAUGUCUUUAGAAUCGACUCAAGGCAAGAUGCAGUAGAGAAAUGUAAGAGCCAACUAGAGGAGCCAUUUAACUACUAGGUGCAUCUUCUCCAGCAAGUUCUUCAGCAUCCUUUCCAGAAGCAUUCGACAGCCAAGGAAGCAGGCUACGCCUCACCUACUCCUUCCUGGGCUAAAGAUCUCAGACUUAGUUGCUUAAUUUGGGAAAAAUAAAUUAAAGAAGUCUUCUAUCAUUAUACGCAACAUAGAAUAA
rnacentral:lncRNA from 1 species